ACGUAGGUGGCGAGCGUUAUCCGGAAUUACUGGGCGUAAAGCGCGCGCAGGCGGCUAGUCAAGUCUGAUGUGAAAACUCCUGGCUUAACUGGGAGACGUCGUUGGAAACUGACUGGCUUGAGGCAAUGAGAGGGGUGUGGAAUUCCCGGUGUAGUGGUGGAAUGCGUAGAUAUCGGGGGGAACACCAGUGGCGAAAGCGGCACCCUGGCAUUGACCUGACGCUCAUGUGCGAAAGCGUGGGGAGCGAACGGG
rnacentral:rRNA from 1 species